AACUAGUGAUGAAGAAAAUACCCUUAGGCGUGGCGUGGCCGUCUUGGUCACCUAUGUGCCACUUGCCAAUGCUAGGAUUUGUCAUAGUUACACUGACUGUUG